rnacentral:rRNA from 1 species
AUUGAACGCUGGCGGCAGGCCUAACACAUGCAAGUCGAGCGGAUGAAGGGAGCUUGCUCCUGGAUUCAGCGGCGGACGGGUGAGUAAUGCCUAGGAAUCUGCCUGGUAGUGGGGGACAACGUUUCGAAAGGAACGCUAAUACCGCAUACGUCCUACGGGAGAAAGCAGGGGACCUUCGGGCCUUGCGCUAUCAGAUGAGCCUAGGUCGGAUUAGCUAGUUGGUGAGGUAAUGGCUCACCAAGGCGACGAUCCGUAACUGGUCUGAGAGGAUGAUCAGUCACACUGGAACUGAGACACGGGCCAGACUCCGACGGGAGGCAGCAGUGGGGAAUAUUGGACAAUGGGCGAAAGCCUGAUCCAGCCAUGCCGCGUGUGUGAAGAAGGUCUUCGGAUUGUAAAGCACUUUAAGUUGGGAGGAAGGGUUGUAGAUUAAUACUCUGCAAUUUUGACGUUACCGACAGAAUAAGCACCGGCUAACUCUGUGCCAGCCGCCGCCGUAAUAC